rnacentral:lncRNA from 1 species
GGAGAAGGGGUGGGCCGGGUGGUCUCAGCCCCAGGGAGAGUGGAGUGCCCGCCCCUCCCCUCCCCCAGGACGGCUGGCCCCUGGGAGAGCCCCUGGGGGAGCCAGUUUCCUGUAAGCAGAAGGGCAAGUGGUUGGGACCCAGAGGUGUCUGACAGUUGUGGACUUAGAGCCCAGAGGAAGGGUUUGGGGUUUGGGGCUCCUGGGACGCCGCAGGCCCCUGAGGACGUCCAUCAGGAUCCUGGCAGUGUGGAGGUGUAGGGUCCAGCCCUACGGGGCU